UACGUAGGGGGCGAGCGUUGUCCGGAUUUAUUGGGCGUAAAGAGCGUGUAGGCGGCUCGGUAAGUCUGUCGUGAAAUCCUGAGGCUCAACCUCGGACGUGCGAUGGAUACUGCCGGGCUAGAGGAUGGUAGAGGCGAGUGGAAUUCCCGGUGUAGCGGUGAAAUGCGCAGAUAUCGGGAGGAACACCAGUAGCGAAGGCGGCUCGCUGGGCCAUUCCUGACGCUGAGACGCGAAAGCUAGGGGAGCGAACAGG
rnacentral:rRNA from 1 species